ACUAGCCCUACCAUUUUCCUACCCGUGUGACCAUGGGCAAGUUACUUUGUCCUGUUUGUGCUCAGGUUCCUUAUUUGUUAAAUGAGAGGACUGAAGUGUGGUAUGGGGGCUAACUUUUGGAAGCCUGGAAGACUUGGGUUUGAACACUGGCUCAGACAGCUUUGCAACCCAGGUAAGUCAGCUCAAGUUUCCUCAUUUGUAAAAUGGAGGGGGUGGAUUAGCUAGAUUCCAAAGUCCCUUCCAGCUCCAUAUCAUGAAGGUCAUUUCCAACUGUGAAAUCAUGAAGCCUCUCUGAAUUUGAGGUGCUUCAGGGGUUAGACUAGAUAAUUCCUAAGGUACCUUCUAGUUCUAGGAAUCUGUUAUUCUGUUCUCCAUUGGGGGUGGAGGCGCAGCCCUUAGGUGGUAGGCAUUUUACUUAUGUGGGCUUCUGUGAAGCCCAGAGCACAUUCCUGCAGACCCUCAAGGGGCUUAAUUUAAUAAGGUUACACACUUGUCUGGUCAGCUAAUUGUGUUGAGGAUAACUGCCAUUUGAUUGAUUUUUCUUCCCUCUAAGUCACUUAUUUUUCAUAUUGUGAAGGUCACCAGUCCACUGUCUUCAUGGAUUUCCUACUUCUUUAGGAGACGGCAAUAGCUCUCACCUGGCCCACUGUCCACCCACAAAUGGUCUUGCUCAUCAGAGAUCCCACUGCUGCCACAGAAGUUGCCAAGUGCAGUAAAGGCCCGUGUUUGUAAGGAGAUGUUCAUCUCCUCAUCACAGUUGUGCUGUCAGAGAGCCAGCUAUUGGAAGGAGAAAUUUAAAGAUGCUUCCAGGACACUAAUCAAGAAUCUAUCAAUGUGGAUAAUCAUUCCAAAGAUGCAGUUGGCAACCAUUCUUGCUUUUCUAUCCCAUAUGACUCUUCUUUAAAGUCUAUGGUAAGUCCUCUACAAGGGGUCUGCUUAAUUUGCUGGGGCCUUCUUAUAGAUUU
rnacentral:lncRNA from 1 species